rnacentral:rRNA from 1 species
UACGAAGGGGCUAGCGUUGCUCGGAAUCACUGGGCGUAAAGCGCACGUAGGCGGAUUGUUAAGUCAGGGGUGAAAUCCUGGAGCUCAACUCCAGAACUGCCUUUGAUACUGGCGAUCUCGAGCCCGGGAGAGGUGAGUGGAACUGCGAGUGUAGAGGUGAAAUUCGUAGAUAUUCGCAAGAACGACCAGUGGCGAGGCGGACUCA